UUGACCGAAUAACUUGUUAGUUUCGGGAUGUUUGUUAAUUGUUCAUUGGAAUCGGUUCGGUUGCAAUUGCUCUUCAAUAGUGGCAUUGAAAAGAACCAUAAUAUAUAAGUCAAUCGUCGUUGAAUUAAAACAACAAAGUAAAUGUUGCCAAUACGAGCUAAAUCUAAAAGCGUUUUCCAUUUGUUUAUAAACAAAUGUCUGACCUGAACAACAGCAACCGAGUGUCAAUGUGAAACAAAGAAACGCGAGUGUUAAAUUGAACUGCUUUGUGGACAGACGGGUUUUAAGUUGGCUUACCUUUUAUAGAAAGACCGGAAGUCGAUGAAAUGUAUUAUUUGUCUGCCAAAAUUGAUGCUUCGCCCAAUUUAUUCUAUUCUAUGCAAAAAGAGUAUGCUAGUGAUUUGAUCAUAAUUAUAAUGAUUGGUCAUCUGCAAAGAAAUAAAUAAUUACAUUUGUGUGCAUUCCUAAAUAACUCCAAAUCAACAGUUCAUAUUUUAGAGAAAUUCUACAAAAGGAUAUCGACAGCGAUUCAUUGAAGGGUUUUGUCAUGGAACUGAAUACACUUAAAAAAUUUAAAAUGGUAACCCCAUUUUAGACCACUACCAUUUCUUGUGGUGCAAUUGCAUUGAAACUUUACAUAUAAAGAUUUCCCAAUACUACAUUCAGAAUAAUGGAGAAGAUCUUUAACGGAUUUUAAUGAGGUAUGUACGAAAGUAAAUGCAGUAUUCAAUCGAUAUCUUGAAUAGCUUACAGACAGGGAUGUCCACCCCUAUACGCUAGAGUUGAAAGCCAG
rnacentral:sRNA from 1 species